CCAAAAGGAUUAAUCUUUAUAUAUUUGUCAAUUGUCAUAUAACAAUCCAUAGUGAUCGUUUAAGCGAAAAAUAAACUUAAUUUUUUCACCACAUGAUUUCGUUUGGUAUUGUAACGAGUUUAUUCACACUUUCGUAAGUGUAGUCACCGUGACAAACACGCAUAUAGCCACUCGCGUGUACGUCGUUACAUCGUCACUAAGCGCGCGUAUUUUCAUCUCGACAACGCUUAAGGGCAGCCACCCUGAAUCUGAAGACGUCGCCGUGGAGCAACUAUCCUGCGUCUUGACCUUUCAUUUGAUCUUCGACUUGAAAUGGAGCGAAAGACGGUUUGUAUACUACCGAACUAGUACUCUCUAAAUCUGAAUCAGUGAAAAAGUCACUGAUUGAAUCAGUAACGCCAUAUAUUAUUAAUGAAUCAGUUAAACGGAGCCGAAUUCGCUAUGCAAAUAGUGAGACCGAUGUGACACACUGAUUUGCCAGCGCUUAUGUCGUUAAUCAAUCACUUACUUAUUAGUGACUUUAGAAUGACGCCCUUGUCCAUGCAUUUAUUAUUAUAUUACUUAUAAUAAAGCGACGAUUUAAUAGAUUUAUAUGUUCAGUAAAAUUAUCAGGCGAGAUGAUUAAUUCGUGCAUUUUUCGCAUGUACAUCUAGUCACGAAGCAUAUUUAUGUCAUUACAUUUCGUGAUAUGACGUGUUUGCUAACCUAUGAAACAGUCGUCAACUUUAACAGUUAUAUCUUGGUUUGGAGGGCAGAACAAUGCUUAUUUCUGCCAGAUUUUUUUGUUUCGUACAAAAAAACGCAUCGAAUUAAUGUAUUAUAAUUUUAUCAAAAUUGGAGGCCUCUAUACUGUAUAAUUAUUAACGAUACAUUAAGUGCUUCAUUAUGCACGUAAUAUGUUCAAAGUUGUGAAUCUCAAUACUCAUUUCAAUGUAUUUCAGAUAUUUUUCCAUUAUUAAAAGAUUAGCUAUGGCUUAUAUUAUGGAUUGAUCGCCAGAAGAAGUUUCCAAAAAAAUAUUAGGUCUUACAAAAGACGGACUUGCUGCUAAUGCUUUUUUAGCAUUUCAUAAAAGGUAAAAUGGAUCGUUUAAAUUGUUAUAAGUGUCACCGUAAUGUCUGCAAUGGAUUGAAUGGUUUAACGCGGCAUUUACAAGAUUAUCACGGACUUACAAUUUAUCGACGAAUAGAGAACGGUUUUGAAUGUAAUCAAGAUGGAUGUCGUCGAAAAUUGUUGCUUACGCCACACAAUACAGACCAGAUAUUAUAAAAAAAAGACUGAAAAGACCUCCCUCUUAAUGAUGGUGAGUGUUUUAGAAUAAUAAAAAUUGUUUCUACUUACUGUUAAAUGUUGUAUACAAAAUUUGUAUAUAAAAUUUGUAAUUAAAAUUCAUAUCAAAAAUUAUUAUUGAGCACUAAGAUCCGCUUUCCACCGGUGUUGAUACACUUCCUGAUCAUAAUAGGUUAUUGUUAUAAUAAAACGUGAAAAUUUUU